GACAGAGGUGCCGAGCGUUAGGCGGAAUCACUGGGCUUAAAGCGUGUGUAGGCGGACUUCUAAGUACCUUGUGAAAUCCCACCGCUUAACCGUGGAACUGCUUGGUAUACUGGUUGUCUUGGGCCAUCUAGGGGCUACUGGAACAAACGGUGGAGCGGUGAAAUGCGUAGAUAUCGUUUGGAACGCCAAUGGUGAAAACAAGUAGCUGGGGAUGUGCCGACGCUGAGACACGAAAGCCAGGGGAGCGAACGGG
rnacentral:rRNA from 1 species